GAUUAACGCUGGCGGCGUGCAUAACACAUGCAAGUCGAACGAUGAAACUUAAAUGAUUUCUUCGGAAUGAACUUAAGUGGAUUAGUGGCGGACGGGUGAGUAACGCGUGAGUAACCUGCCUUACACAAGGGGAUAGCCGUUGGAAACGACGAAUAAUACCCUAUGAAACUAUCACUUCGCAUGAAGCGAUAGUCAAAGUGUUAGCGGUGUAAGAUGGACUUGCGUCUGAUUAGCUAGUUGGUGAGAAAAAAGCCCACCAAGGCAACGAUCAGUAGCCGGCGGGAGAGAGGGUACGGUGGGAUUGGGAUUGGGACACGGCUCAGACUCCUACGGGCGGCAGCAGUGGGGAAUUAUGCACAAUGGGGGAAAUGCUGAUGCGGCGACGCCGCGUGAUUGAGAAGGCCUUCGGGUUGUAAAAAUCUUUUGUAUAGGAAGAAAAUGACAGUACUAUACGAAUAAGGGCCGGCUAAUUACGUG
rnacentral:rRNA from 1 species